GGGUUGUGAGGUUAAGCGACUAAGCGUACACGGUGGAUGCCCUGGCAGUCAGAGGCGAUGAAGGACGUGCUAAUCUGCGAUAAGCGUCGGUAAGGUGAUAUGAACCGUUAUAACCGGCGAUUUCCGAAUGGGGAAACCCAGUGUGAUUCGUCACACUAUCAUUAACUGAAUCCAUAGGUUAAUGAGGCGAACCGGGGGAACUGAAACAUCUAAGUACCCCGAGGAAAAGAAAUCAACCGAGAUUCCCCCAGUAGCGGCGAGCGAACGGGGAGCAGCCCAGAGCCUGAAUCAGUGUGUGUGUUAGUGGAAGCGUCUGGAAAGGCGCGCGAUACAGGGUGACAGCCCCGUACACAAAAAUGCACAUAUUGUGAGCUCGAUGAGUAGGGCGGGACACGUGGUAUCCUGUCUGAAUAUGGGGGGACCAUCCUCCAAGGCUAAAUACUCCUGACUGACCGAUAGUGAACCAGUACCGUGAGGGAAAGGCGAAAAGAACCCCGGCGAGGGGAGUGAAAAAGAACCUGAAACCGUGUACGUACAAGCAGUGGGAGCACGCUUCGGCGUGUGACUGCGUACCUUUUGUAUAAUGGGUCAGCGACUUAUAUUCUGUAGCAAGGUUAACCGAAUAGGGGAGCCGAAGGGAAACCGAGUCUUAACUGGGCGUUAAGUUGCAGGGUAUAGACCCGAAACCCGGUGAUCUAGCCAUGGGCAGGUUGAAGGUUGGGUAACACUAACUGGAGGACCGAACCGACUAAUGUUGAAAAAUUAGCGGAUGACUUGUGGCUGGGGGUGAAAGGCCAAUCAAACCGGGAGAUAGCUGGUUCUCCCCGAAAGCUAUUUAGGUAGCGCCUCGUGAAUUCAUCUCCGGGGGUAGAGCACUGUUUCGGCAAGGGGGUCAUCCCGACUUACCAACCCGAUGCAAACUGCGAAUACCGGAGAAUGUUAUCACGGGAGACACACGGCGGGUGCUAACGUCCGUCGUGAAGAGGGAAACAACCCAGACCGCCAGCUAAGGUCCCAAAGUCAUGGUUAAGUGGGAAACGAUGUGGGAAGGCCCAGACAGCCAGGAUGUUGGCUUAGAAGCAGCCAUCAUUUAAAGAAAGCGUAAUAGCUCACUGGUCGAGUCGGCCUGCGCGGAAGAUGUAACGGGGCUAAACCAUGCACCGAAGCUGCGGCAGCGACACUAUGUGUUGUUGGGUAGGGGAGCGUUCUGUAAGCCUGCGAAGGUGUACUGUGAGGUAUGCUGGAGGUAUCAGAAGUGCGAAUGCUGACAUAAGUAACGAUAAAGCGGGUGAAAAGCCCGCUCGCCGGAAGACCAAGGGUUCCUGUCCAACGUUAAUCGGGGCAGGGUGAGUCGACCCCUAAGGCGAGGCCGAAAGGCGUAGUCGAUGGGAAACAGGUUAAUAUUCCUGUACUUGGUGUUACUGCGAAGGGGGGACGGAGAAGGCUAUGUUGGCCGGGCGACGGUUGUCCCGGUUUAAGCGUGUAGGCUGAUUUUCCAGGCAAAUCCGGAGAAUCAAGGCUGAGGCGUGAUGACGAGGCACUACGGUGCUGAAGCAACAAAUGCCCUGCUUCCAGGAAAAGCCUCUAAGCAUCAGGUAACAUCAAAUCGUACCCCAAACCGACACAGGUGGUCAGGUAGAGAAUACCAAGGCGCUUGAGAGAACUCGGGUGAAGGAACUAGGCAAAAUGGUGCCGUAACUUCGGGAGAAGGCACGCUGAUACGUAGGUGAAGUCCCUCGCGGAUGGAGCUGAAAUCAGUCGAAGAUACCAGCUGGCUGCAACUGUUUAUUAAAAACACAGCACUGUGCAAACACGAAAGUGGACGUAUACGGUGUGACGCCUGCCCGGUGCCGGAAGGUUAAUUGAUGGGGUCAGCGCAAGCGAAGCUCUUGAUCGAAGCCCCGGUAAACGGCGGCCGUAACUAUAACGGUCCUAAGGUAGCGAAAUUCCUUGUCGGGUAAGUUCCGACCUGCACGAAUGGCGUAAUGAUGGCCAGGCUGUCUCCACCCGAGACUCAGUGAAAUUGAACUCGCUGUGAAGAUGCAGUGUACCCGCGGCAAGACGGAAAGACCCCGUGAACCUUUACUAUAGCUUGACACUGAACAUUGAGCCUUGAUGUGUAGGAUAGGUGGGAGGCUUUGAAGUGUGGACGCCAGUCUGCAUGGAGCCGGCCUUGAAAUACCACCCUUUAAUGUUUGAUGUUCUAACGUAGACCCGUGAUCCGGGUUGCGGACAGUGUCUGGUGGGUAGUUUGACUGGGGCGGUCUCCUCCUAAAGAGUAACGGAGGAGCACGAAGGUUGGCUAAUCCUGGUCGGACAUCAGGAGGUUAGUGCAAUGGCAUAAGCCAGCUUGACUGCGAGCGUGACGGCGCGAGCAGGUGCGAAAGCAGGUCAUAGUGAUCCGGUGGUUCUGAAUGGAAGGGCCAUCGCUCAACGGAUAAAAGGUACUCCGGGGAUAACAGGCUGAUACCGCCCAAGAGUUCAUAUCGACGGCGGUGUUUGGCACCUCGAUGUCGGCUCAUCACAUCCUGGGGCUGAAGUAGGUCCCAAGGGUAUGGCUGUUCGCCAUUUAAAGUGGUACGCGAGCUGGGUUUAGAACGUCGUGAGACAGUUCGGUCCCUAUCUGCCGUGGGCGCUGGAGAACUGAGGGGGGCUGCUCCUAGUACGAGAGGACCGGAGUGGACGCAUCACUGGUGUUCGGGUUGUCAUGCCAAUGGCACUGCCCGGUAGCUAAAUGCGGAAGAGAUAAGUGCUGAAAGCAUCUAAGCACGAAACUUGCCCCGAGAUGAGUUCUCCCUGACCCUUUAAGGGUCCUGAAGGAACGUUGAAGACGACGACGUUGAUAGGCCGGGUGUGUAAGCGCAGCGAUGCGUUGAGCUAACCGGUACUAAUGAACCGUGAGGCUUAACCUUACAACGCCGAAG
rnacentral:rRNA from 1 species